CUGCCCCACACCGAACUCUGGUUAGACGCCACGAGGGGCCGGUGGCCCGUGUCUCCUCCUUUCCCCUCGCUCCCGGGACCCCCGCCCGCCCCGCCUACGCCUUCCCUUCCCCUGCUUCUCUACCCCGAGACCCCAACUGGCGCGAAGGCUCUGUACCCAGUGUCCCGAUUCUGUUUUACUUGGGUAACUCCUUGCUCUGCGGGAAUGUAAUAAAUACUUUUUGUUGAGUUACAGGCCUGCGGUCUGGAGAGAGCAAGGACUUGAGGAUGAGCACGUAUCACGCGGGCCCCAGUCCCGCGACCACCCGACAAGGUUCUUUCUGGUCGCGGGACCCCAAGGGGCCGAAAGCUGGGGGCCCAGAGCGCAGACAGUAGGCCCUCUGCACCUGGGCUUCGGAUCCAUCACCGCGGGUUUGUCCUGCCCUUCAUGGUCCAAGCGUCUGGCACAUACAGCGCUCCGCUGUGUGCCGAGCCGGGUGACCGCUCCCAUCGGGGAGGAAGCUGAGCGCUCGUGGACACGGCAAAAGCCACAAAGGCGUUGUGAACCGGGCUGCUGGCAGGCUGUCCCCAGCUCCGGGAGCCAAUGGCUGACCGCCAGGAUCGCCCUGGCCGUUGGGAAGGCCACCUCCAACAAUAGUAUUCCAAACUGGUUGCUCUCGAUUUUUGAAGAGCCUGUGUUUCUCUUGAGGUUCCUGAGCUGAGUGGAGAAACACUGACCCUUGAGUUUCUCCUGCACCGUAGUGACUGAGUCAGGGGCGGGGCCGCCAGGCUUGGGCAGAGGAUGGAGUUACUGCGCCCAGUAUCCGACUGUUCAGUGUCCGGCCAUGUGCGCGCACUGCACCCAGGCCUGCGUGGGGCACAGACAGGGCCUCUGCGCCUGAGCGGCUGCUGUUCUAGGGGAGCAGGCUCGACAGACAUCAUUUUGUAAGAAACUUCCACUAAUGAGACUGAUAGGAAGAAUGACAAAGUGAGAGAGAUAAAUGGAGAGAGACAGGAAUGGGAGCCCUAGAUCAGGUGGUCAGCAGGUUCUCUGGACAGGUGACCCUUGAGCAGGGAGCUUAAGAACCACACCUUGUUCCAGGGAAGGAUGUCCCUGGCUGAAGUAGGUCAGUGCAAAGGCCAGAAGCAGGGGAUCCAGAGAAGGUCAGUGCGGCCAGAGAAGGAACAGGAGCACCCAGAGGGUGGGAGGGGUGGCUGGGUCUGGACCUGGGUUCUGACUUCAGCCUCGAUGACCUGGGGCACUUGAGAGGGUUUCUGGUGGGGAGUUUUUUUAUUAUGCUCAAAUUAUUUUCUCUUGGCAUAAUUUCAGAUCACCACAAAAGUGGCAAGAAUAGUGUGAGAAUUCCCAGAUUCUCACAGAUUCCCAGAUGUUAAACUUUUACUAAGAGAGUGUGAGGCAUCUGGAAAUGGGGUCUUUGAGGGUGUGAUCAACUCAAGAUGAGGUUGUACUCGACAAAGAAGGAAGUUCUAAAUCCAAUAAAACUGAUGUCCUCAUAACAGGGAAUUGUGGCCACAGAGCCAAGGAGGGGAGACAGCCACGUGAAGACAGAGGCACAGGCUGGAGUCAUCUGGGCACAAGACAAGAACACGGGCAACUAGCAGGAGCUGAAAGAGACGGGGGGACCCUCUGCCAGAGCCCUCAGAAGGAGUGAGGCCCCCAGGAUUGUGAGAGACAAUUUGCCUAUUCUGGAUGUUUCAUAUAAAUGGAAUCAGCUAGCAUGUGGUCUCUUGUGACUGGCUUCCUUCACUUAGCGUUUUUUCAAGGGAGUCAACAUCAAGUCUUCUGAAACAUGCUGCCAUGGAGGAGAGAAGGAGUGGCAGAGUGGGUUUAACUGUUGACAUUAAUUGCUGCAUGUGGGCUUGGGGGCAGGUAUCUCCCUCCCCUCUCAUGUAAGCAUGUGGAGGAGUUUCCCCAGCCCGUCUCCACUGCUUCCUCUGUCCCAGGAAAAUCUACAUGGUCUGUGAAAAACCCCAAGUUUGGGAACUGUUGGACACAGAGUUAACCUCACCAGGGUCAGCCACACUGAGUCCCACGUGACGCUGACUGCCAAGACCCCGCUGACUUUGCAUCACAAAGGCUUCAGAAGCACAUUUCUAAUACCGGUCUUCUGCGUUUUGCAUAGACUUUUUUAAAAAGAGAAAGCAUUUGCUGUUUCACCCCCUUUUGAUGGAGUGGCAGUAUUUCUACAACUCUGACCAAACUCAGGAAGAAGAUCUAAAGUACUGUUUACUUUUUUAGAAGAAAAUUACGAUGAUUUACCUAGUCAAAGUGCCACUAAUUUAUCCAAAAUCCUCUACUGUUGUGAAAAAAAUACAGUAAUUUCAAGACAACAAACGAACAAAACUAUCACCCACAGAAUUGCUUUUUUAUAAUCAAAUAAAAAUUGAUGUCCGUGAAGCAAACUGAUUGAAGUAGUGUGUUU
ensembl:lncRNA